AGCAAUCUCUCUAGUACUUUUUUCUUGAGCUUGGAAAAUUCACAUCAUUUCUGUUUUCCUUUUCAGGAACGACUCUAGGUCCUCUCACCAAACCUUUUACUACAGGCAUUACUGAAACUCCAUUUCCCAUCAUCUCAACAUCUGGGAAUGUAGGCACAACACGAGUAGUGAGCCCCACGAUCACUCAUGCUGCGGGAAUGGCAGGUACGACUGGAGAAUCCAUGGGUGCAACCGCAGGAGCAGGCAGAGAAAGCACACCUGGAGCGUCAGGCACUGGGGCCACCAGCCCUGGGAACCCAGCAGUAGGAACAACUGGAGGAGUGGAUGCCACCACUGGAGCUGCUGGUGAAAAUACAUCUG
rnacentral:lncRNA from 13 species